CCUCCUUUUGAACGUCAGAGCCAGGAGCUGGAGGAUGAAGCCGCAUGCAGCUUCAGCCUCUCGUGCCUCUCAGAGAGCACCUGUGAUUUUUGCCGUUGCAACAGCACGAGGAGCAGCUGCUGCAGCGCCGGAGAUCAUCUAAUGAGAGGUUCGACUCGCGGCUGCUCUCCGUCUCAUAAAACCACCAUCAAACGCCACUGAUCGAGAAGCGUCCGCAGCCGGUAUGUCGUGGUUGUUCUUGGACUGGUUCGUUCCACUUUACCUGCUGGUGUCGGUGUUGGUGCUGGCAGGCUUCGGAGCGUGCCUGUACUUCCUAGAGCCCGGGUUGCAGGAUGCCCACAAGUGGAGCAACAAAACAGUCCGGCAUCACCCGCUGGUGGCCAGUGUGAACUGCAGAGAUGACGAUAGCAAUGCCCUGAUCUGAUCAAGAGAGCGAGGCGAAGCGGGAGGGUGACUGGCCAUCUGGACAGGGGUGCUGCCGCCGGGACACUGGUGGGAUGGGAGCCAACACCCAAACGACUGUGGAAAAAAAUGGGAGAAAAGAAUGAGAAAGGAGGGGAAAUUAUCUAUUGUGUCUGAUAAUGCAAACCCAGUUCUAUAUCAUUCCAGCUUUUCUCUCAUCUCUGCUGAUUUUCGUUGCAGAGAUGAGGGAAAAGUGAAGCCGAGAUGUUUUUGACAGUUCCUUGAAAAAGAAGAAGAAGAAGAAAAAUGCACAAUAAGGAGAAGACUGUAUGCAGAAAGAGAUUGUGGGGUGAUUGGAGGAAGUGUUGCCCUUUAGAAAUGUGUUUGUAAAUUUCAUGCCAUCCUAUACUUGUGCCAAGUUUUACACGCAUUUUGUAAUUUGACAAUCACUUUACAUAUCUCAUAAAGUUCACUUAUAUUGUGCAUUUAAUUAGCUGAAGUGAAUGACAUAAGUGCAAUGACUUUGCUGCCAGCGGGGAGGGUUUUUAAUCCUCUCUCUGAUGUCGGCAUGGCAGCUGCUGAGACGCAUGUGGAUUGUUUAGUGCCGCUGUGCCAAAACGGUGUAUUAUUAGUGACUUACUUUAAACUGUUAUGUACCCAAUAAAUGCAACUGAUUCAUUUAAGGUGCCAAGAUUAUCCUGGAUGGACCAAGACAACUGACAGAUAGCCUAGUAUUUGGUAAAGUGUAUAUUUUCCUUGUUUUGUUUUCAUUGUUUUUACUUGACAGCAUGGUGAGAAACAGUGGGUGUGUAACGACCCUCUUUUAACAAUCAUAUGCUUCCUUUGUUCAUACAAAAAUAAAACUGCUCAGUCCUCA